CUGCGCGUCAGUGCCGCGGGACUCUCCUUGGCUGUUGGAGGUGAUUGGGGUCGGGGGAAGGGAAAUGGACGCUGGCCUCGAUUCCCCUUUCGAGGUCGCUGUAGCAAACCCCUUGCCCCGGGGGGCGAGUGAGGAAAUAAGCAUCAAACACCCGGUUAAGGGAAGGAGGCACGCCCGUGGUCGGCGGAGGAGUUACCUUGAGCCUCAGAGGGCCGGCCCCAGUGUAGGCGGACCCAGGGCGGGGGGAAGGAAGUGAGAGGUUGUUUAUGACCAGGGACUAAUCUUCGAGAGUCCCACCGCUCCCGCUGGAGCGUAAGGGCGAGGACCCGAGCUCUCCGGCAGCAGCCUCCCUCGGCCUUGGAAGGCAACAAGGGGUUUGAGAAGUACUACUUUGAAGGAUUGGUAGAAUUUGGAUACGUGGGUAAAGGAAGAGGAAGCUGCUGGUGAAAAAAUCCUUUUAGACACUGCAAAUGAAUUGAAAAAAGGAAGUUAGCACACCAUUGCCAAUGGCUUUCUGGAGAACAGUGAAGUUCAGCAAGGUUGGAGCACCAGCUACACAAUGAGGAGCAUAAGAUCCAGAAAGCUGGACAUCCUGGAUUUUACUUUGCUGAAUUUGGCAAUCCUAAAUCCUCAAUGAAUUUACAGUCUAACUUACUAGAGGCAGAGAUUAGUAAACAAAAUUAGCAUAACCUGGGAAGACAUGAAAUGGAAGGACCUGGAACUAUAAAUGUGUGGAGGGAACCUGUCUGCUAACCAAGAACACCCACUGUUAAAAGCAAGAAAUAAACUUGUCAUAUUUGAACCAUGUGUUUUGGAUCCAUUGGUACAAUGAUCUCUUUAUACCAGCCUAGCCUUAUUAAUGUGUCAGUCCAUGAAAUCUAC